GGGCGUGAGGGCGAUCUGGCUGCGACAUCUGUCACCCCAUUGAUCACCAGGAUUGAUUCCCCUUCCUCCUUCACUGCUCCAAGUGCAUCCCUCCUGAAGCUUCAUGCUUGGUCGAAGAGGACGGCCUUCCCUGAAUAGAGACGAACCGGUCUUCAGGUGUUCGGUUGAGGGUAUAUGAGUAGGGAGUAUGCACUCCCUUGCUAGAACCUCCAAACAAACUCUCAAGGUCCAUCUUUCCUCCUCCUCUUUCUGAUCCUCAGCAGGCUUCAUUAGUCUGGGAUGACUUUUUCU
rnacentral:snRNA from 1 species